rnacentral:rRNA from 1 species
UGCCGCUUGCGAGGGCGUAUGGUGGAUGCCUUGGCAGACAGUACCGAUGAAGGACGUUUGAGGAUGCGAUAAUCCUAGGGGAGCCUCCAACAUGGCUUUGAUCCUAGGGUCUCCGAAUGGGGGAACCCGCCGGCCGUCAUGGGCCGGCACCGCCUAUGGGCGGGGGGUACGCAGGGAAGUGAAACAUCUCAGUACCUGCAGGAAGGGAUACUCCGUGAGUAGUGGCGAGCGAAAGCGGAUCAGACCAAACCGGUUGCGCGUGAUACCCGUCGGGGGUUGCGUUGCCGGUGUCGUGGGAUCACGUGUCCCGGUUCCGACGGGCCGGGCGGGAGUCAUAAAACGGCUUGCCAGGGGAACAGGCUUGAAGGCCUGGCCGUAGAGGGUGCCAGCCCCGUACCUGGACGUGAGCCGUCUUCCGAUCGUGUUGUCCCAAGUAGCGCGGGCCUCGUGGAAUCCCGCGUGAAUCAGCCCAGACCGUUGGGUAAGUCUAAGCAUACCUGUCUGACCGAUAGCGUACCAGUACCGUGAGGGAAAGGUGAAAAGCACCCCGGGAGGGGAGUGAAACAGUACCUGAAACCGUGCGCCCACAAACCGUCGGAGCCUCCUUGUGGGGUGACGGCGUGCCUAUCGAAAAAUGAGUCUGCGAGUCAGUGGCGGGUGGCGAGCAUAAGCCGUGUGGCGUAUGCGUAGCGAAAGCGAGUCUUAAAAGGCGUUUGUAGUCGCUUGUCCUGGACCCGAAGCGGGAUGAUCUAGCCCUGGGCAGGUUGAAGCGCGGGUAAGACCGCGUGGAGGACCGAACCCACCUGGGUUGAAAACCGGGGGGAUGACCUGGGGCUAGGGGUGAAAGGCCAAUCAAAUUCCGUGAUAGCUGGUUCUCUCCGAAAUGCAUUUAGGUGCAGCGUCGGUCGAUUGCGUCGCGGGGGUAGAGCUACCGGAUGCUUGCGGGCCCUUGUUGGGUACCAACAGCAGCCGAACUCCGAAUACCGUUGACGUGUAUUCCGGCAGUGAGUCGGCGGGGGAUAAGCUCCGUCGUCGAGAGGGAGACAGCCCAGACCGUCGUCUAAGGUCCCGAAGCGUGUGCUAAGUGGGAAAGGAUGUGGAGUCGCAUAGACAGCCAGGAGGUUGGCUCAGAAGCAGCCAUCCUUGAAAGAGUGCGUAACAGCUCACUGGUCUAGUGGUUCCGCGCCGACAAUGUAGCGGGGCUCAAGCACACCACCGAAGACGCGGCAGCAAUCUUCAUGGUUGCUGGGUAGGAGAGCGUCCUGCGAGGGGCGAAGCGGCCGGGUGACCGUGCCGUGGACUUCGUGGGAGUGAGAAUGCAGACAUGAGUAGCGAGAGACGGGUGAGGAUCCCGUCCGCUGGAUGACCAAGGGUUCCGGGGCCACGUUCGUCGUCCCCGGGUGAGUCGGGUCCUAAGGCGAGGCCGACAGGCGUAGUCGAAUGGAUGAACGGGUGGAUAUUCCCGUACCGACCAUGGACCGGCAAAACCGAGACGGUGAGUACUAACCUCCGCCUCGUGGUGGUUCCUUCCUUCGGGUUGGUGUCGCCGCGUGGUGUUGGGAGCGUAGCCGCAGUAGGUCAGCGCAGGGGUGACACGGAAUGGGAGCCGGCCGCGGAGGUGGUUUUCCGUGGUCAAGCACGCAGCCAGUCAUGUAGGCAAAUCCGCAUGGCGCGCAUGGCGAGGUGUGAUGAUGGGAGCCGUUAUGGUUCGAUAUCCGGUUGUCCAGGCCGUCGAGAAAAGCCUCGGCGUGAGGGCCAUGGCCGCCCGUACCCCAAACCGACACUGGUGGUCAGGUAGAGAAUACCAAGGCGAUCGAGCGAAUCCUGGUCAAGGAACUCGGCAAAUCACUCCCGUGCCUUCGGUAUAAGGGAGACCCGCUGGGGUGAACCGGCUAGCCCGGGGAGCUUUGGUGGGUGGCACAGACCAGGGGGUAGCGACUGUUUACCAAAAACACAGGUGCAUGCGAAGGCGAAAGCCGCUGUAUAUGCACUGACGCCUGCCCGGUGCCGGAAGGUUAAGAGGAUCCGUCAAUCCCUUCGGGGACGAAGCGGUGAAUUCAAGCCCCGGUAAACGGCGGUGGUAACUAUAACCAUCCUAAGGUAGCGAAAUUCCUUGUCGGGUAAGUUCCGACCUGCACGAAUGGCGUA